CCGGGUUCUCCGGUUUCCUCCCACAGUCCAAAGGCAUGCAGCCAUAUAGCAUCAGUAGAAAUAACCAAGGAAAUGUAAGUGUAAAAAAUGUAUGUGUGGCUGGUAUGCAUAGACAGCCCAGCAGUUAAGUUCUAGUCUGGCUUUUUGUUAAAUACAGUAUGUGACUAAUCAAAUUGUUUGUCUUUUGUUUUCUGUUCUUGGUAUCCAUUUCUGGAUGAAAUUCCCUGAGGCUGGUGAUGGGGAGAACAAUGCUGAGAUUCUGUCUCCAAUGACGUGUGCACUGGCUGACUGAUUCACUUUGUUAUUCUUCAUAUUGUAUCUUAGAUGCACAAUAGAAUUCCCCAGUAGGGACUGGAUGGGAUUUUGGUCACGGAACCCCAGAGGCUUUUCUCCAUUGGAGUUUUUAUCCUUUCUCCACAGACCUUCUAAUCGUUUAGUAUAACUCUUUUAUUUGACUGUUUUUCCAUUGUUUCCAUGUACAACCAUUUGUUAAGCACCUUGAAUUAUACUUUGUAUUGGAAGGCGCUGUAUAAAUAAAUGUUGAUGUA